GGGAGCAUAGCUCAGCUGGGAGAGCACCUGCCUUACAAGCAGGGGGUCACAGGUUCGAGCCCUGUUGCUCCCACCA
rnacentral:tRNA from 6 species